rnacentral:rRNA from 1 species
CCUACGGGCGGCAGCAGUGGGGAAUAUUGCACAAUGGGCGCAAGCCUGAUGCAGCCAUGCCGCGUGUGUGAAGAAGGCCUUCGGGUUGUAAAGCACUUUCAGCGGGGAGGAAGGCGGUGAGGUUAAUAACCUCAUCGAUUGACGUUACCCGCAGAAGAAGCACCGGCUAACUCCGUGCCAGCAGCCGCGGUAAUACGGAGGGUGCAAGCGUUAAUCGGAAUUACUGGGCGUAAAGCGCACGCAGGUGGUCUGUCAAGUCGGAUGUGAAAUCCCCGGGCUCAACCUGGGAACUGCAUUCGAAACUGGCAGGCUAGAGUCUUGUAGAGGGGGGUAGAAUUCCAGGUGUAGCGGUGAAAUGCGUAGAGAUCUGGAGGAAUACCGGUGGCGAAGGCGGCCCCCUGGACAAAGACUGACGCUCAGGUGCGAAAGCGUGGGGAGCAAACAGGAUUAGAUACCCGAGUAGUC